UGGGGAUUGGUGUAACGGUAGCACGACUGACUCUGAAUCAGUUAGUCUAGGUUCAAAUCCUAGAUCCCCAG
rnacentral:tRNA from 1 species